CCAAGUCUAGUUGCUGAAAAUGACUUGUGCUUCAACCCAAAUUCCUCAAGAAUUGCUGUAAUUGGGCCUCUUUGCUCAAUUCCCCUUUUUGUAUACACCUAAUGUAUAUCAGUGUAUAUCGGAUGUUUACGGACUCGUUUUUCUGCCUUCCAAACCUAUAGCAGCUCCAUUUUAACCUGUUUCAGCUUCCCUUACAACAUGUAUUCUCUUCCCGAACCCCACAUGGUUCCAAUUACGAGGUUGACUCAAUAAGACAGAGAAUGCAAGAGAUAGGAAUUGGGUCCAACUUGGACUCUGCUAACAUACCAUAAAUCAAACAAAAGUAAAAGAAGAGGAAUUAGAGUUGGACAAGAUCCAAAAAAAAAAGCAAAAAAAAAAAGCAUAAUAUUCGAAUCACAAGCAAAGAAACUAAGUGGUAAUUCACGUAAUUAAUAUUAAAUAGAUCACCAAUUUUAUUUUAUCUUUUAAUUGAAGAAGAAAAAAAAAUAAAAUCACUUCAACAAAUAUAAAAGGAAAAUAAACAUGGACCACUAAAGUAAGUGCUACUUUAUGGAAUUAACAAACAAGACAACUUUAUGCACAUGGCAAGCAUUUGACAAGUAAAAUAUGCACACUGGCAAAGAUUAUUCAUUAGCAAUAAGAGUGGAUAAAUUAUAAGUCAUAAUAGCAUAUGAACAACAGUUUAGCAACAUUCAAGUGAAAUAGUUUUGGGACGAAGAAUAGCAAAGACACAAAAUUAGUUUAAAUAACUAUGUAUAUCGUGAUUCCCAUAUUUAGCUUAGAGUGAAAGAGCGAAAAAACAUGGCGUUGAAUACUGGUUAUUAAUGCACAUGCAUAGCACCUAUGACUUAACUAAUACAAGUGUAGCAGUUUGAAACUUCAACAAAAUGCCGUUAUGCGGGCCAAAAAAUAAGAAUAGUAACAGUUCUAGUCAGAAAAAUCAUCUUUGACACGAACCGAACCAAAACUUAUUUAUUAUUGAAACUGAAUGCAUUCUAAGCAGUUGGAACAAGAACUCAACUAAAUCUAUCCAUAACACGAGAUUAGGCUAACAUUGAUAUGAAUCCAUGAUACCAAAUCCUAAAAAAAAUAAUCAACCUUUCCAGGUUCUUAAACAGCAAGGGAAAGUUAGUAAUAUGAAAGAAACAUAACACAUUUUGGAAAGAGAAUUGCAAACUCAUAUGCGAAAACAAGAAAUAAGCGGCAACACACACUCAUCCUAUAAUCACAACAUGAGAGAAACAAUUACAAAGCUCGAUGAGAAAACUUAAAAUACCACACAUAACUCCAAACACAAUAAUCCAGGUGCACUUGAAGUUAACAGAACAGUAAGAAGAUAAACAGGUUUUACCUUUUUGAGGGCAGCGACUGAGACAAACGAGUUGAAGAGCUUCCUACUACCACUGACCGCCACCAACAGAUGAACAAAAGAACUUGAAAGAAAAUUGAAAAUCCGAGGCUCAAACCUUCGUGGGUUCGAUUUCAGAGAAUACUAUUCUCCAACCUUCAAAUUUCAAUCCUCUGUCUGUUUGACUGUCCUCUCUAAAUGGCACCAAUACCAUGUAUUUAUAGCAAAAAUAGAGAUUUGAAUUCAAAUAGCUGUUUAAGCGGGAGAUGAGAGAUUGAUUGGAGAGAAUGGAAGGAAAAACAAGCAAGAUGAGAAGCUACCUCGAAAAUCCGGAUUCAAUGUGAUAUCUUCCGAUUCAUAUUAGAUUUGGUUGAGAUUUUUAUCUAAGCAAAAGUCAACAAACCUUGUUCCGAGAUUUGUAAUCUUUGAAAAUAGAGGGAGGCACUGUCAAUGGUGAUGGGCGGUGUAGUUGGAUGAAGAAAUUAGGGUUCUUGCUUGACUUUUGCGUCUUUGGGAAGAAGAAGGGGAGAGUAGCGCGUGAGAGUUGGAAAAGAAAAAGAAGAGAAAGGAAC
rnacentral:lncRNA from 1 species